rnacentral:rRNA from 1 species
CAACCUGCCCACCACUUGGGGAUAACCUUGCGAAAGUAAGACUAAUACCCAAUGAUAUCUCUAGAAGACAUCUGAAGGAGAUUAAAGAUUUAUCGGUGAUGGAUGGGGAUGCGUCUGAUUAGCUUGUUGGCGGGGUAACGGCCCACCAAGGCAACGAUCAGUAGGGGUUCUGAGAGGAAGGUCCCCCACAUUGGAACUGAGACACGGUCCAAACUCCUACGGGAGGCAGCAGUGAGGAAUAUUGGUCAAUGGACGAGAGUCUGAACCAGCCAAGUAGCGUGCAGGAUGACGGCCCUAUGGGUUGUAAACUGCUUUUAUAAGGGAAUAAAGUGAGUCUCGUGAGAUUUUUUGCAUGUACCUUAUGAAUAAGGACCGGCUAAUUCCGUGCCAGCAGCCGCGGUAAUACGGAAGGUCCGGGCGUUAUCCGGAUUUAUUGGGUUUAAAGGGUGCGUAGGUGGUGAGACAAGUCUGAAGUGAAAAUCCGGGGCUUAACCCCGGAACUGCUUUGGAAACUGCCUGACUAGAGUACAGGAGAGGUAAGUGGAAUUCCUAGUGUAGUGGUGAAAUGCGUAGAUAUUAGGAGGAACACCAGUGGCGAAGGCGACUUACUGGACUGCUACUGAC